rnacentral:rRNA from 1 species
AGAGUUUGAUUAUGGCUCAGGAUGAACGCUAGCGACAGGCUUAACACAUGCAAGUCGAGGGGCAGCACGGGAGUAGCAAUACAACUGGUGGCGACCGGCGCACGGGUGAGUAACGCGUAUGCAACCUACCUAUCAGAGGGGAAUAACCCGGCGAAAGUCGGACUAAUACCGCAUAAAACAGGGGCACCGCAUGGUGAUAUUUGUUAAGAAAUUCGCUGAUAGAUGGGCAUGCGUUCCAUUAGGUAGUUGGUGAGGUAACGGCUCACCAAGCCGACGAUGGAUAGGGGAACUGAGAGGUUGGUCCCCCACACUGGUACUGAGACACGGACCAGACUCCUACGGGAGGCAGCAGUGAGGAAUAUUGGUCAAUGGGCGAGAGCCUGAACCAGCCAAGUCGCCGUGAAGGAAGAAGGAUCUAUGGUUCGUAAACUUCUUUUGCAGGGGAAUAAAGUGCGGGACGUGUCCUGUUUUGUAUGUACCCUGAGAAUAAGGAUCGGCUAACUCCGUGCCAGCCGCCGC